UACGGAGGGUGCGAGCGUUAAUCGGAAUUACUGGGCGUAAAGGGCGCGUAGGCGGUGGGUUACGUCUGCCGUGAAAUCCCCGGGCUCAACCUGGGAAUGGCGGUGGAAACGGGCUGACUGGAGUAUGGGAGAGGGUGAUGGAAUUUCAGGUGUAGCGGUGAAAUGCGUAGAGAUGUGGGAGAACACCAGUGGCGAAGGCGGUCUCCUGGCCCAAUUCUGACGCUGAGGCGCGAAAGCUUGGGAAGCAAACAGG
rnacentral:rRNA from 1 species